GGCUGCUCCUGCUGCCCUGGGCUGGGCCCUGCUCCCUGCCCAGGGGCUGGCAGUGCCUCUGGCAGGGUGGGCAGCUCUUCCAGAGAGACCACAAGUGAGCCCUGUCUCACCCUGAGCACGUGGGGAGCAGGGAGGGGCCGAGCCAAGCCAGGUUCUGAGGGCUUGAGCACCUGCUCACAGUGCAGGACAAUUCCUGUCCUUCCAUGGAGGGCUGUGCGUGGCUCUUAACAUCUGGUGGGGCAGCAAGCCAGGCCUGGCAUGUCCCUGAGCAGAGGGAGAUGUUUUGUGGCAGUGAGAGCCGGGAUGUGACUGGAAACAAGCAGGAAGCAGCCCCAAAGCAGUGGGGGCUUUUUCCAGCUUUCCUUGAAGCAGUGUCACCACGAGCCACAGCCCACAGGUGCCAUCAGCACUGGGCUGCAGCUGUGGGUGCGUUGCUGUGGCUCCUGGAGUGCCACACGUGCCCAGGCUGCAGCAGCGGGAGCCAGGAGAGCUUCCUGACACCAUUUCCCUGCAGGUGAUCCUUCAGCUGCCGAGCUGCCACCGCAACGUGUUCCGGUACCUGAUGUCCUUCCUGCGGGAGCUGCUCAGGUACUCGGAGGACAACAACGUCAGUGCCACCAUGAUCGCCGCCCUGUUCUCCAGCCUCCUCCUGCGCCCUCCGCCCAACCUGAUGGCCAAGCAGAGCCAGCAGGACCGCCAGCGUGCCAUCAACUUCCUCACCAGCUUCCUGCUCGCCGGGGACGACGAGUGACUCGUGCCGUGUGCCAAAGCCGGGCCCGCGCUGCAGCCGGGCCUCUCUCAGCUCCGAGGGGUAAAGGCUCCAAGCUCUGCAAGUGCCGUGUUUACAGUGGGAAGGGACGCUCCCCUCCUCGCCUCGCCACACCCCACGCUGCAGAGGCACCGCUCACCGCGCCGCCAUCCACCUCCGGAGCCUCGGCUUCCCGCGGGAGCCGGCCGGAUGUGGCGGUACCCGAGCACUGUGCCAGCGCCCGUCGUCCCGUGGCAGCGUCACCGGGCGUCCAGGUCACGCUUCUCUCUGUGUCACCCCCAUCUGCCAGGAGCUGCUGUGGAGAGGGGUGGGGAUGGCCAGUGCUCUGGGUGGCACGGCGCGUCCCUCCGGCGCCGGGUACGCGUGUACUGCCCAGACUGCAACGUGUGCCACCCUCUGCCACACAGCCCUGCCAGCCCUGCUGCCAUCACUGUGCUAUGGACCGUGCUCACCCAGGAAAGGUUGUUUGGACAUUCGGCCUCUCCCCUUCGGCAGGGCCUUUCCCCUCUCCCCUCCCUCCCAGGACACGAGGCCUCGGCACACAGCUCUGUCCCUGCACACCCCGUUCUGCCCUCACUUUCCUCUCCCUUCCCUGCCCCAUUUCCCCCAAGGACACGGGAUGGUGGCUGGCUCACAGUGGCCCGGGUCAGGUGGAGCCACGAGCUGCCCUCUGUGUGUCUUGAGCAGGAUGGGAGGCCUGUCCCUCCAGGCCAGCCUGCAGUGUGGGGGUGGGACAGGCUGGCUGCCCAGGUGCCACCAGAUGGAGUCUGUUCUCCUCCUGGGGUGCUAGCAGAGGGUGCAGGUUUGGGGGAGUAAGAGGAGCCAGAAAUGCUCCCUGAGGGCCAGAGGAGCAGCUGGGGGGGCUGCGGUGCAAGGGUCACACCCAGCUGGCUGAGGGGACAGCCUAGGGCUGGUGACAGGGUACAGCAGUGGCCUGUCCCACCAAAACACUACGAGGCCUGUGGGGCCACGGGGCCUCAGGUUAGGGAGGCCAAAGCCAAGGGGAGAGGGUUGUGGUCACAGAGCCCCUGCCGGAGCCUGGUUAGCCCAGGAUGUCAUGUGGCCCUGUGGUCCCCAUGCACUGGCUGAGCUGCCACGGGCUCCCUUCCCUUCUGCCUUUUUCUUUUCCUUAAAAUUUUUAAAUUACAUAAUUUAUUGGGAAACCAUUCGUUCCAAAUAAACCUCUGUUGUGCAAGGC